rnacentral:rRNA from 1 species
CCUACGGGUGGCAGCAGUGAGGAAUAUUGGUCAAUGGACGAGAGUCUGAACCAGCCAAGUAGCGUGAAGGAUGACUGCCCUAUGGGUUGUAAACUUCUUUUAUAGGGGAAAAAGAUGUGCCACGUGUGGGAUUUUGUAUGUACCAUAUGAAUAAGGAUAGGCUAACUCCGUGCCAGCAGCCGCGGUAAGACGGAGUUUCCGAGCGUUAUCCGGAUUUAUUGGGUUUAAUGGGAGCGUAGGUGGAUUGUUAAGUCAGUUGUGAAAGUUUGCGGCUCAACCGUAAAAUUGCAGUUGAAACGGGCAGUCUUGAGUACAGUAGACGUGGGCGGAAUUCGUGGUGUAGCGGUGAAAUGCUUCGAUAUCACGCAGCACUCCGAUUGCGAAGGCAGUUCACUGGACUGCACCUGACACUGAGGCUCGAAAGUGUGGGUAUCAAACAGGAUUAGAUACCCCAGUAGUC